rnacentral:rRNA from 1 species
GCAACCUGCCCCGAAGACCGGGAUAACACCGGGAAACCAGUGCUAAUACCGGAUGCCCCCACGAGCCCGCAUGGGUUUGUGAGGAAAGGAAUCCGCUUCGGGAGGGGCUCGCGACCUAUCAGCUUGUUGGUGGGGUAACGGCCUACCAAGGCUACGACGGGUAGCUGGUCUGAGAGGACGAUCAGCCACAUUGGGACUGAGACACGGCCCAAACUCCUACGGGAGGCAGCAGUAGGGAAUCUUGCGCAAUGGGCGAAAGCCUGACGCAGCAACGCCGCGUGGGGGAUGAAGGCCUUCGGGUUGUAAACUCCUUUUAGUGGGAACGAAAUUGACGGUACCCACAG